rnacentral:rRNA from 1 species
UAGGGAAUAUUGCAAAAUGGGCGAAAGCCCGAUGCAGCAACGCCGCGUGGGCGAUGAAGGCCUUCGGGUUGUAAAGCCCUUUUUGAGGGGAUGAGGAAGGACAGUACCCUCAGAAUAAGCCUCGGCUAACUACGUGCCAGCAGCCGCGGUAAAACGUAGGAGGCGAGCGUUAUCCGGAUUUACUGGGCGUAAAGCGCGUGCAGGCGGAUUGGAGAGUUGGAUGUGAAAGCUCCCGGCUUAACUGGGAGAGGUCGUUCAAUACUUCCAGUCUUGAGUGCAGUAGAGGGUAGUGGAAUUCCGGGGGUAGUGGUGAAAUGCGUAGAUAUCCGGAGGAACACCAGUGGCGAAAGCGGCUUCCUGGACUGUAACUGACGCUCAGACGCGAAAGCUAGGGUAGCAAACG